AUUGAACGCUGGCGGCAUGCUUUACACAUGUAAGUCGAACGGUAACAGGCCGCAAGGUGCUGACGAGUGGCGAACGGGUGAGUAAUGCAUCGGAACGUGCCCAGUCGUGGGGGAUAAAGCAGCGAAAGCUGUGCUAAUACCGCAUACGAACUAUGGAUGAAAGCGGGGGACCGUAAGGCCUCGCGCGAUUGGAGAGGCCGAUGCCAGAUUAGGUAGUUGGUGGGGUAAAGGACCACCAAGCCAACGAUUUAUAGCUGGUCGUGGAGGACGACCAGCCACACUGGGAGUGAGACAAGGGCCAGAGUCCGACGGGAGGCAGCAGUAGGGGAUUUUGGACAAUUGGACCAAACCUGUUCCAGCAAUGCCGAGUGCAGGAAGAAGGCAUUCGGGUUGUAUACUGAUUUUGUACGGAACGAAACGGUCUGGGUUAAUACCCUGGGCUAAUGACGGUACCGUAAGGAUAAGCACCGGCUAACUACGUGCCAGCCGCCGCCGUAACAC
rnacentral:rRNA from 1 species